rnacentral:sRNA from 1 species
AUAAACUCUUCAAGAGCACCAGCCAGCUGGUACUGCGGAGGGACUCUCGGAGCCUGGAGGGCAGCUCGGACACGGCCCUGCCCCUGAGGCGGGCAGGGAGCCUCUGCAGCCCCCUGGACGAACCAGUAUCGCCCCCUUCCCGGGCCCAGCGCUCCUGCUCCCUGCCCCAGCCCAAACUUGGUACCCAGCUGCCCAGCUGGCUUCUGGCCCCCGCUUCACGCCCCCAGCGCCGCCGCCCCUUCCUGAGUGGAGAUGAGGAUUCCAAGGCUUCCACGCUACGUGUUGUGGUCUUUGGCUCUGAUCGGAUUUCAGGGAAGGUGGCCCGGGCGUAUAGCAACCUUCGGCGGCUGGAGAACAAUUGCCCACUCCUCGCACGGUUCUUCAAACUUCAGUUCUUCUACGUGCCUGUGAAGCGAAGUCACGGGACCAGCCCUGGUGCCUGUCCACCCCCUCGGAGCCAGACGCCCUCACCCCCGGCAGACUCCCCUAGGCACGCCAGCCCUGGAGUAUGUCCCCAGCCUGGGCCAAUGGGGCGGGAAAGUAGUUCUGGCUACCUGAAGGAAGCCGAUUGGAAGUCAUGGAAAGCAAGCACCUGUGU